rnacentral:rRNA from 1 species
CACGUAGGGCGCAAGCGUUGUCCGGAAUUAUUGGGCGUAAAGAGCUCGUAGGCGGUCUGUUACGUCUGCUGUGAAAACCCGGGGCUUAACCCUGGGCUUGCAGUGGAUACGGGUAGACUAGAGGCAGGUAGGGGAGAAUGGAAUUCCCGGUGUAGCGGUGAAAUGCGCAGAUAUCGGGAGGAACACCGGUGGCGAAAGCAGCUCUCUGGGACGGUACUGACGCUGAGACGCGAAAGCGUGGGGAGCGAACAGG